rnacentral:rRNA from 1 species
AUGGCGGAUGCACCUCUGUACAAGCAGCGCUGCAAGUACAUCAGGGAGCUCCACGACGUCCACCUCCACGGCAAUCACAAACUCCACGUCCUUUGCACAAGCAAGGGCAAAGACGUGGACAAGAUGUUGUCCACGUUCAGGAGGAAGCUCGGCAGAAUGCCCGUCAAACUAGUCGGCGUUGAUGUCGAGUACACACACUACGAGAAGCCACAGCGUGCAGCGGUACUACAGCUAUGCGUAGAAAAAGAAUGCCUUGUCUACCACAUAUCUGCAGCUAAAGACAGGCCAAUGGAACUAGACAAAUUCCUGAUGAAUGAUGAGUACACCUUCGUCGGAUUCGCUAUUGAAGGAGACAAAAGCAAGCUGAAGGUAUCUGGUUUGGAGAUCAACUCCAACAACUACAUUGAUAUUCAGGUGGAAUGGAGAGACCCAUACAAUAAAAAGAAGUUUGACUCUUUGGCUGAUGUUGCUGGCAGGAUGAUAGACAUUGACUACCAUGACAUGAAGAAAAAAAUU